rnacentral:rRNA from 1 species
UAGACCGAUAGCGAACAAGUAGAGUGAUCGAAAGAUGAAAAGCACUUUGAAAAGAGAGUUAAACAGCACGUGAAAUYGUUGAAAGGGAAGCGCUUGCAACCAGACUCGGCCUCGGGGUUCAGCCAGCAUUCGUGCUGGUGUACUUCCCCGGGGCCGGGCCAGCGUCGGUUUGGGCGGCCGGUCAAAGGCCCCAGGAAUGUAUCGUCCUCCGGGACGUCUUAUAGCCUGGGGUGCAAUGCGGCCAGCCUGGACCGAGGAACGCGCUUCGGCACGGACGCUGGCGUAAUGGUCGCAAACGACCCGUCUUGAAACACGGACCAAGACUCU